GAUGAACGCUGGCGGCGUGCUUAACACAUGCAAGUCGAACGAAGCACUUUUCUUGCUUGCAAGAAAAGUGACUGAGUGGCGGACGGGUGAGUAACGCGUGGGUAACCUGCCUUAUACAGGGGGAUAACAGUUGGAAACGACUGCUAAUACCGCAUAAGCGCACAGUGCCGCAUGGUACAGUGGGAAAAACUCCGGUGGUAUAAGAUGGACCCGCGUCUGAUUAGCUAGUUGGUGAGGUAAUGGCUCACCAAGGCGACGAUCAGUAGCCGGCUUGAGAGAGUGAUCGGCCACAUUGGGACUGAGACACGGCCCAAACUCCUACGGGAGGCAGCAGUGGGGAAUAUUGCACAAUGGGGGAAACCCUGAUGCAGCAACGCCGCGUGAGUGAAGAAGUAUUUCGGUAUGUAAAGCUCUAUCAGCAGGGAAGAUAAUGACGGUACCUGACUAAGAAGCCCCGGCUAACUACGUGCCAGCCGCCGCCGUAAGAC
rnacentral:rRNA from 1 species